GAAGAAACGGAAGCUUAAGCUUGAAAAAGCAGAACGGCUUGGAAAGAACGAAGCAGGUAAAUCUUAAGAAGUCUAACAUCUAAAAAUCUAGUGUCUAAUAUCUAGACUAGUGGCGGACGGGUGAGUAACGCGUGAGCAACCUGCCUAACAGAGGGGGAUAACGUAUGGAAACGUACGCUAAUACCGCAUAACAUAUGUUUGUCGCAUGGCAGACAUAUCAAAGGAGCAAUCCGCUGAUAGAUGGGCUCGCGUCCGAUUAGAUAGUUGGUGGGGUAAAGGCCUACCAAGUCAGCGAUCGGUAGCCGGACUGAGAGGUUGAACGGCCACAUUGGGACUGAGACACGGCCCAGACUCCUACGGGAGGCAGCAGUGGGGGAUAUUGCACAAUGGGCGAAAGCCUGAUGCAGCAACGCCGCGUGAGGGAAGACGGUUUUCGGAUUGUAAACCUCUGUCUUUGGUGAAGAAAGAAAUGACGGUAGCCGAGGAGGAAGCCACGGCUAACUACGUG
rnacentral:rRNA from 1 species